rnacentral:rRNA from 1 species
AAAUUGAAGAGUUUGAUCAUGGCUCAGAUUGAACGCUGGCGGCAGGCCCACAUGCAAGUCGAACGUGGUAACAGGAAGCAGCUUGCUGCUUUGGCUGACGAGUGGCGGACGGGUGAGUAAUGUCUGGGAAACUGCCUGAUGGAGGGGAUAACUACUGGAAACGGUGGCUAAUACUUCUACUAACGUCGCAAGACCAAAGAGGGGACCCGGGCCUCUGCCAUCAGAUGCCCAGAUGGGAUUAGUUUGUUGGUGAGGUAACGGCUCAAUUGCUAAGACGAUCCCUAGCUGGUCUGGAGAGGAUGACCAGCCACACUGAACUGGCAUGGUCCAGACUCCUACGGAAAGCAGUGCGGGGAAUAUUGCACACGGGCGCAAGCCUGAUGCAGCCAUGCUGCGUGUAUGACAAGGCCUUCGGGUUGUAAAGUACUUUCAGCGGGGAGGAAGGUGUUGUGGUUAAUAACCGCAGCAAUUGACGUUACCCGCAGAAGAAGCACCGGCUAACCUGCGCCAGCAGCCGGUAAUACGGAGGGUGCAAGCGGCAUCGGAAUUACUGGCAAGCGCACGCAGGCGGUCUGUCAAGUCGGAUGUGAAAUCCCCGGGCUCAACCUCGGGAACUGCAUUCGAAACUGGCAGGCUUGAGUCUGUAGAGGGGGUAGACCUGUGCGUAGCGGCAAAACGCGCGUAGAGAUCUGGAGGAAUACCGGUGGCGAAGGCGGCCCCCGGACAAAGACUGACGCUCAGGUGCGAAAGCGUGGGGAGCAAACAGGACAGAUACCCCGGUAUCCACGCCGUAAACGAUGCCCUACUUGAGUGUUGUGCCCUUGAGGCGUGGCUUCCGAGCAACGCGCGUUAUGGCAGACCGCCUCGGGAGUACGGCCGCAAGGUUAAAACUCAAAUGAAUUGACGGGGCCCGCACAGCGGUGGCUACGCGGUUUAAUUCGAUGCAACGCGAAGAACUCCACCCGUCUUGGACAUCCACGGAAGAAUUCAGAGGAUUUGUGCCUUCGGGAACCGUGAGAUUGGUGGUGCUGCAUGGCUGUCAACAGCUUCCGUGUUGUGAAAUGUUGGGUUAAGUCCCGCAACGAGGCGCAACCCUUAUCCUUUACGCCAGCGGUCCGCCGUCAAACUCAAAGGAGACCGCCAGUGAUAAACUGAGAAGGUGAUGACGUCGUCAUCAUGGCCCCUACGACCGUGGCUGGCCAACACGUGCCAGUCGGCGCAUGGCUGCGCAGGUAUGACCCGCGAGAUAAAGUGACCUCAUAAAGUGCGUCAGUCCGAUUGAGUCUGCAACUCGACCCAUGAAGUCGGAAUCGCUAAUCGUGAUCAGAAUGCCACGGUGAAUACGUUCCCGGCCUUGGUACACACCGCCCGUCACACCAUGGGAGCGGGUUUGCAAAGAAGUAGGUAGCUUAACCUUCGGGAGUGGCGCUACCACUUUGUGAUUCAUGACUGGGGUGAAGUCAAAAAUAAGGUAAAUCGGGGAACCUGCGGUUGGAUCACCUCCUUA